UACAGAGGGUGCGAGCGUUGUCCGGAAUCACUGGGCGUAAAGGGCGCGUAGGUGGCGCUGCAAGUCGGUGGUGAAAGCUCGUCGCUUAACGACGAGUCGGCCAUCGAAACUGCAGGGCUGGAGCACUGUAGGGGCAGAUGGAAUUCCGGGUGUAGCGGUGGAAUGCGUAGAGAUCCGGAAGAACACCAGUGGCGAAGGCGAUCUGCUGGGCCGUUACUGACACUGAGGGACGAAAGCGUGGGGAGCGAACGGG
rnacentral:rRNA from 1 species